rnacentral:misc_RNA from 1 species
GAUGAAGAACGUAGCGAAAUGCGAUAAGUAGUGUGAAUUGCAGAAUUCAGUGAAUCAUCGAAUCUUUGAACGCACAUUGCGCCCCUUGGUAUCCCGAGGGGCAUGCCUGUUCGAGCGUCAUUUCACCACUCAAGCCUGGCUUGGUGUUGGGCGACGUCCCCUUUGGGGACGCGCCUCGAAACGCUCGGCGGAGUGGCACCGGCUUUAAGCGUAGCAGAAUCUUUCGCUUUGGAAGUCGGGGCCCCGUCUGCCGGAAGACCUACUCGCAAGGUUGACCUCGGAUCAGGCAGGGAUACCCGCUGAACUUAAGCAUAUCAAUAAGCGGAGGA